rnacentral:rRNA from 1 species
UAAUACGAAGGGGGCUAGCGUUGUUCGGAAUCACUGGGCGUAAAGCGCGCGUAGGCGGAUCAUUAAGUCAGGGGUGAAAUCCCGAGGCUCAACCUCGGAACUGCCUUUGAUACUGGUGAUCUGGAGUCCGGGAGAGGUGAGUGGAACUCCUAGUGUAGAGGUGAAAUUCGUAGAUAUUAGGAAGAACACCAGUGGCGAAGGCGGCUCACUGGCCCGGUACUGACGCUGAUGCGCGAAAGCGUGGGGAGCAAACAGG